UACAGAGGUCUCAAGCGUUGUUCGGAUUCAUUGGGCGUAAAGGGUGCGUAGGUGGCUCGGUAAGUCGGGUGUGAAAUCUUGGAGCUUAACUCCGAAACUGCAUUCGAUACUGCCGUGCUUGAGGACUGGAGAGGAGACUGGAAUUUACGGUGUAGCGGUGAAAUGCGUAGAUAUCGUAAGGAAGACCAGUGGCGAAGGCGGGUCUCUGGACAGUUCCUGACGCUGAGGCACGAAGGCCAGGGGAGCAAACGGG
rnacentral:rRNA from 1 species